GAUCACAGAGUACUCACUACUCAAUAGUUUCCACUCUCACCGCACAAAACGCCACACUGUGCUGUUUAAAAAAUAAAGUAAAGCUCCUCCUCCUCCUUCUCAAAACCAACCCCAAAAGCUACUCAUCCUCCUCCCAAAGAUACUUCCCUUCCAUUACUCCUCUUGCAUGGCGAUCAACACCGCCGCCAAGGCCAAAUCGCACAAUGUCGGCAGCGACGGCGACAACAGCAACUCCUCCUCC
rnacentral:lncRNA from 1 species